ensembl:ncRNA F09E5.21 ncRNA
CACAAAAAAAAGUUAAACGAAUCGAAGUCCUAUGAAAGAGAAACUUUCUGGACUCCACCAACUUUGAACAGCUUGGCAAAGUUUGUAAAGAGACGUAAGACCAAAAUAGGUGAAGUGCGUGGGGU